rnacentral:tRNA from 1 species
AAGCUUGUAUCUCAUCUGGUUAGAGCUCACCCCUGAUAAGGGUGAGGUCGGUGGUUCGAGUCCAAUCUGGCCUACCA